CUACCUUCCAAUUUUAUCAAAAUAUCUAUUCAUAUCUAUCCAUAUUCUUUUAUAAAAUUCUAAUUUCUAACCCUAAAUCCCAAAAAUUCCCAAAUUCAUUCAGAAACACUAAUUUUCCCAAUUCACAAACCCUAACCCCUUACCCCCUUUCUCCCAAAACGCAGACACACACACACACACACACAGAGGAGAGGAGAGCGUUUGAGGGAGCUGAGAGGAAGAGAGGGGACUACACCACAUCGUCGUCCAGCCACCGUCCAUCCCGCCAUCACCGCGUCUCACUGCUGUCGCUGUGGAGACCGAACGCCUUCGAGUUUCCUGCUGCCACCUUGGAGCCCGUCGUCAUCAAGAGCGUCAGGAGAAAGAGAGAGGGACGAACUCGCGACGGAGAGGGAGGAGGUUGCGCCGCGCAGCCGUGGAGCCCGUCACACGUGUCACCACCGUCAGAAGCAGAACCACGAAGAGGAGAGGAAGAACGACGUUGGGAGGAAACUGUGAGCUGCAAGCCGCUGACCGAGAAGAAGCUCUGCCUUUGUCACCGUGUUGGAGUCGUCGCUGCCAACGCCGCGCACCGCCGUUAGCGCUGCCGUUGAAGGGAGCUCGCCGUCACAGUUCAAUCAUCAUUGAGCUUGAAGGGAGGCGCCACUGAAAUACCCGACAGUAGCUUCCCCUGCAUUCCCAAUUCCAUUCUUGAAACUUCGACCCCGUCGUUCAUGCCCCUUUGCUGCACCUGUUUCUCUACUGCUAUUAUUUGGAAUACCGGCGUUGAUGCUAUUAUGAAUCUGUUAGAAUUGCUAUUGGGCUGUGAUUGCUCUUAAUUUCCACCCAAUUUGAAUCCUUUGCUUGGUUACAACCCCGAUCACUGCUGUGAUGAUUAACAAUGCUGCUAUUCUGGUUAUUGCUUCUGCCGUUCCAGUUGCGUGAGAGUCACUGCUGUUGCCAUGAAACUAAAAGGGAAGGGAGUUGUUACGUUAAAGUAUGCGAUUGCGACAUCGAGUGACACAGGUUUGAAGAUGUGAUUUGAAGCUGCGAGCGAUUAGUAGGCUUCCUUUAUGGUUUUAAUUGCUUUCAUAGAGUCCCCUCGCUCUUUUCCUUUGAAGUUUUAUUUUAUCAGAGGGGUAGGUAUAUUGUAUUUGGGUUUAUAUGACUUCAUAUGUAUAAGAAUUACUAAUAAUAAUACCCCUGUGAUUGUUAUUACUAUUUGCAAUGUUUAUCCUUGAUACAUGUCUUUAAUGAAUAAAAACAAAAUUUUCUGGCAUUUUCUUAAAACUAAGAUGCAAACUCGAUACAAAAGCUCGAUAAUUAAGUAGUUAAUACUAGAGAAGGUUACGUAAUGUUCUUUUUAGUAGAAAUACCCUGACUUAAGCAAGGUAUUUUGCUGGAAGGGAUGUUACAAUAUGGUAUCAGAGCAGUCCUUCCUGUAGAGCCUUAGGAGUGGACUGACUAUGCUUCAUUGCAUACUCUGAGUGUCUGUCAUGCUUUCUAACUUGUUCUGAUGACAAGAUUUUAUGUUUUAUAUGCAUGACUGUCUAGUGAUUAAUGCUAUUAGUUUACCAUUUAAUACCUCAUGGUAUCAAGUUUGGCCAACUUAAUACUAAUGAUUUAUGUAUAUGAAAAUACUAAUGGGUUAUCAUAGACGAAAUAGAAGUGAUAGGUUAAUUCGAAACACGAGGUUUUGGGGAUGUUAGAAACUAAAUUCUAGAGAUUAGUUCCGUUUCGACGUAUGCUCUUUAUUCGUGCUUAGCGUUAUCUCUUUCUCUACUAUUUGUAUUGGAAUUUCUAGUUUUUGAUCUCAUUCUUGCUAACCUUGUAUUAUCAUUCGUGCAUGUCCUUGCUUGACUCUGUGUCUGGUUGUUGUUUGAAUCCUUUUAAACAUUUAUCCUUACCUUACAAGCUCUAUGCUCCUUGCUCUGAAUUCGGAAUUAUUUCGGUGCAGUAUACUAUCUCUUGAAAUUUCCUUCUUGAGUACUUGUUUCAGAUUCUCUUCGAGAAAAAUUUCAAUUUACAACUUUUCUUACUUGACUGUAUCCACAACCCUUACUUAAAUUUUGAUGGAAUUGUUUUUAAUUCAGCCUAGACUUUCUUACAUAAACUUUGAAACUUCUUUAUAUAGUUUAAUCUUGUUUAUUUGUGAUAUACCACUUAUCUUUUAUUGAUUUUUAGAAAAUUUUAUUUCAGAAUUCAUUCUUUAAAUAGAAGCUGAUUUUCUGCCAACUUUACUAUAAUUCUAUAGCUAUGUACUUAAGUAUCUUCCAAGCUUUAGUUUACAAACCAUGCAUGAUUUGUUUUGAUUUGAAAUUAAAUCAGUAUAACAUAUUGUUUAUACUUAGUUCAGUACUUUUGGAAAAUGUUAGAUUUAUAUAUAUUCUUUUGAAAAAAAAAUAAACUAAUUCCCUCUAUUUCAAAUUGAAGUUGUUCAAAAUUGUACUAUUUUUCCUAUGAUGUUCAUAUUGAAACUGUUCGAUUCAAAAUUUCUUCUUAAGCUUUCGAAUUAACUUUCCUUAUGAUACAUUUCAUUGCUUAUAUAUAUCCUUGUUUAUUGAUGAUCUUACGUAUUCCUUCAAAUCCUUGCGAAAUGCCAUCUUGUUCAACUGUGAAUUUGAGUAUUCCCCCAAUUUCUCGCAUAAACCUUUUGUGCUGUUUGUCUUUCUCUUCUCAUGUUUCGUAUUCCUUAUAUGCGCUAGUUCUUAGGGACACGAUUUGUGCAUACGGAAAGUGAAUCUGGUUAGUCUAUGAAGUUAUAAGGAGUUAUGGAGUUUUGAGACGACGAAAGGAAGUGAUCAUGCUUUGUUAAGAGUUCUGAACGAACAUUGUACCUAUUUAAUUUUGGAUUUUGAAAUUUGGUUUGCGUGAAAUUAUUUUUUUUAUCAACUUUUGCAACACCUAGUAUAUUUUCUUCUAUGUUUGUGAUAUGAAUUUCUUGAUCUCUUUAAAAUAUUCAAAAAGGGAUGUGAAUAUAAAU